GAACGCUGGCGGCGUGCCUAAUACAUGCAAGUCGAGCGAACAGACGAGGAGCUUGCUCCUCUGACGUUAGCGGCGGACGGGUGAGUAACACGUGGAUAACCUACCUAUAAGACUGGGUUAACUUCGGGAAACCGGAGCUAAUACCGGAUAAUAUAUUGAACCGCAUGGUUCAAUAGUGAAAGACGGUUUUGCUGUCACUUAUAGAUGGAUCCGCGCCGCAUUAGCUAGUUGGUAAGGUAACGGCUUACCAAGGCAACGAUGCGUAGCCGACCUGAGAGGGUGAUCGGCCACACUGGAACUGAGACACGGUCCAGACUCCUACGGGAGGCAGCAGUAGGGAAUCUUCCGCAAUGGGCGAAAGCUUGACGGAGCAACGCCGCGUGAGUGAUGAAGGUCUUCGGAUCGUAAAACUCUGUUAUUAGGGAAGAACAAAUGUGUAAGUAACUAUGCACGUCUUGACGGUACCUAAUCAGAAAGCCACGGCUAACUACGUG
rnacentral:rRNA from 1 species